ensembl:lncRNA
ACAUUCAUUACUUUUAUCAGAGGCUCUCCAACUUAUGACUUUUCUCUAAUGUCUCCCCUUGUUUUGUGUUGAACUUUAAUUACAGGAUAUUCCCAGUUUUCUCCUAAAAAAACAGAAAGAAGUGGUUCCUUAAUAUUCUUUUUAUUUUCUGGAAUAUUUUCUCUGUGGACAUCCUGCCGAGAAACUGACUCAUGGCUUUUAAAUUGAAUUUCACAAUUUACUGAGGCUGAGUUCCUAUAGUAGUUUUCCAUCAUCACAUCUCUAUAAGGGCUCCUUUGAUCAGGUGCCAGAAAAUCCUACUCCUUCUAAGUAAAUUUCACAGCCACAGCUUCAAAGGCCAUUAACUCCAUUUCCUGGAUCAAGAUUCUGAGGCUUUCUUUGGGCAUCAGCCAUACCGUCCAAGAGGGAAGAGGGAAAAAGGUGGAACUGCAGCCACAUGGAGCAAUCUGGAAUCAAAUGGGAGAAGUUUGUGCCAUGCAGGCUGGUGGAACAACUGGGAUUUUACUUUACAAUGGGUUAUGGCUGAGACACUUCUAACACAAGACAGAUUAACAAGAGAGAAGCAUACGUAUUCAUGUAAUAUAAGUUUUAUGUGACAUGGAGGACUUCACGAGGAAAGAAAGACUCCAAGAAACAGUUUCCUAGAGCAAUUAACCAGUAUCUGCUAAAUAUAAUACAUGCUCCUCGAGAAGAAUAGAAAUCUGUGUUCAAUAUCCAUUAAUCCUAUGGGAAUGGUAUCUCGACUUCCUUUUGAAGAGCUGCUUCCUCCCGAAAAGCCUAUAUUGGCUGGAUAAAUAUAGAAAGAAGUCAAUCAAAGCACUGCACACUCAAGAGUGGUAGCCAUAAAGAUAGUAGGACAUUCUGCAUCUUGCCCGUGGAAUAUACUGUAUCAAUAACAGCCUCCAUGCACCCAGAAUCCUUCCUUUAAAACAGAAUCAACAUAUCAGAGCUGAUAGGAAUAAAAGAGAAACUGCAACCUGGUGACACCAUUUGAAUUCUAGUUGAGCAAUGCCCUGAACUUUAGUUAUAUGAAUUACUAAAUUGAGUUGUUGGUCAAGCCCAUUUGUGUUGGGUUUUUGAUUACUUACUAGUGACUAAAAGAAUCUAUGAAACAUAGACAAAAUCUAGUUUGUUUACUUCAUUUCCCCAGAGCCUAACUUGGUAAUAGGUGCUCAAUAAAUAUAUGUGAAAAUGUAUUAAUUUUAAAAACAUCCCAACCAACAAUAUUGUUCUAUCUCCACUCAACAUUUUCUCUGUCCUUCCUCAGCAAGUAUAGAAGAGCCUACAUCAAGAUAUCAAGGCAAUCAAGCCUACAUCUUGACAAUGAAAAAUGCAUUUCCUCUUAUAAGAUCAAGAGCUCUCAGUUUCUGCUUAACUAAGAUACCACUCUGAGCAAUAGAAAAAUUGUUACAUUCCUUCACUUCUACUUUGAAUUUGCCAAUUAUCAAAUGUUACCCUAGUUUUCAACACCAGGAGAAAUGUUCCCCUCCUGCUCAUGCUUUCCACCACCAUAUCCCCAAAUGAAUUUCCAUUCAUUCAGAAAUUGUUGCUCUGCCCUUGAACUUAGAGGUUAUUGAGAUUUUGUUAUUGAGAUUUAUUGAGAAAUGUUUUUGACCUGGAUUUCUCUGGUAGCAAACUGUCAAAUGAACCCAAAAAAGCACUUUUUGUAAGAGAACACUGUGAGUAGGAUUGGAAAUUAACAGAGAAUCAAAAGCCUUAGAAUUUAUUUUUUACUUUGCCAGUGAUUUCCAGCACAACUUGGGAAAGCCAUUAUUUCAUUUGGUUUUGCUUUUUCCCUGCUUCUUUGAAAAACAGAGCUAGAAAUAGCUCAGAAUAGAACAGUCACAUUGUUUUAGAAGUAGAAGGACACUAGUUGAAGAAAGAUUUAAAUAUUAAAAUCUUUAAUUUGUAAAUAUGAAAGUAGAUAAGUUGAACACUGAUGUGUUCAUUAAAUCUCGGGGUAUUAAGAGACACAGACUGAAUUUCCAGGGAACACAUUUAGAUAUAACAAAAGAAAAUUAUACUUUCUAUAGAAAGAGUAAAGUCAUUUUUUAAAAAUCCAUGAAUAAGAGAUCCAUAACUGGAUUAAGAGGAACUACGGUGAUUUGUAGUAUGUUCCACAGAGAGAGAGAAAGCUGGACUUGAUUAAUCUAGGUCUGACCCAUAAAAAUUCUUAUAUUUAUGUUCUUUAUCUGACUAUAAAUUAAAUCCAAAAGUUCUUAGAAGGAUUUUGUUGCUGAGGGCCUGAGAAUGCUCAGGACAAGGAAAAUAGAAAUAGAAAUUAUUUUAUUUCAAUGUACAGGUUCCUAUAAAUACAGUCUCCUAGAAAUGGAGCCCUUAUCCCUGACCAAUUUUCCUGUAUAGUCUGGUUCAUAGUAGAACUAAAGCACAGACCACAGAGUUGGAUGCCCUGAAAUUUAACCCCCAGUCUUCUAAUAACUAGCUGUGUAAUCUUUGAACCCUAGGCUACAGAAUCUUCAUUUUUUAAAAAAAAAAAAAAAAGAAGUUUGGAUCUAACUGUAAUUUAAAACCCCUUAAGCCUAGCAAGAAAACCCCACAAGACAGACAUUAGAAUUUUCUUUAUUCGAAGAAUGUGGAGAAUAGGAGAAUUUUUAGGCAUCUUUAAAUCCAAAGCAGUUUGCGCAUAGUAAAGAACAAUGCACAAAGGAUCACUGUGUGUGGAAUAAAUAGAAGAAUGCACAGACUACCUGGAAAAAUAACUAAGUCUAAAUGCUCUACCAUGCAGUUUCCUACUUAUGUUUCACCCUCUCUCCAAGAAGCUGAGUGCUGCAAAGAUCAGGAACAUGAGGGUUAACUUCACCCCUUUGUGACUAACAGUGCUGCAGGCUAUGACAAGUAAUCUUUCAUUGCUUGACUAGAUAACAAUGGGAAUAAAACAUUCCCUAUUUUUUUAUCAAAUACAAUAUUUGCCAUUUGUUGUUAGGGAACAUGAUGAAGUUAAACUACCAAUCUUACCCUCUAUGUUCCUCUCUCAUUCACAACUUACUCAAACAAAAUUUUGGCUGAUACUUUAGAAUCUCUUAAAAAACACUCAAUGUUGAAAAUGUUUGCUUUAUUCUGUCCAAUAUCCAACUUUCAAAUUAAAAAAAAAAAAGUGAACAGGAAAGAGGCUUUUUCUUGAUUGCAAACUCAUCAGGGAGGUUGUGAAUUUUUUGCAGAUAAAUUGCUUAAGGUACAUUGACUUUGUAAUUUGUGUGUGGCUAAUUGGAUUGCCUGAUUAAAGGACAUAGCCAUUGUUUCAAGGUAGCAAUUGCUAGGCUGGAGUGCCCUGGUGGCUGAAAAGGCCUCUGGUGUGUAAUUCUACACCUCUGAACUGAUGCGAUUAGUGGUGUCUACAGCCAAAAGAAAACCAAGAAACUUCUUACAGUGGCCUGUCCUGGUAAGGAAUGCAGUCUUCCCGCAGUCUCAGGGAUUCUUAUGAAUUCUACAGAGCCUCUAUCUUAAGACUUAUACAUGACUUAAGAUCAGAACUCCAGAUGUAUGGAUGCCAUAUUGUACCAGCAUUGGUCCUCAUUAACAUUGAACUCCAAAUGAGCUACAUACCUAACCACUAGGAGUCACAAUCAUUAUACUCUCGUCUAUCUUUGUCAAGCCACCCUUUAUUAAAAUUAGCAAUGUUAACUAUGUUAAAGCAAUAGAACUAAAAGGUCUGUUUCACAUAAACCUUUACCAUGAAUGUUUUGAUAAUGUGAAAUGUCAUGUGAUCCGAGAUCUGGUUUAACUCUGCACUUAGGUAAGAAGGUAGCUAUAUACCUACAUGAGAGCUCAGUACAUUCAGUUUUGAACUUAUUCCAUUUUUUUUAACCUUAAUUUCUGGGGUCUCCAAAUAAAAGUCAAGGGAAUACAAAAUAUUACCUAAAGCAAAGCUAAAAUUGCAUGUUUUAAAUUUUUAUGUCAGGAAAUGCAAAAUUAAUACUCUCCUUGUGAUAUUGCUCAUUAAUAUCAUACUUAGACUAAGCUAUAGUUUUAAUGACCUAAUUCAAAAGAGUGGAAAAUUUUAUUUUACUUAAUUUAAAUCAUUUAGAUGUAUGAGGUCUUUUAUUUCCACUGGCAUUUUUUUCACAUUAAGUGUAACAGGGAAGAAGCCUAUUUCAAACUCUCUUAUAGAACAUAAACUCUUGAUGGACUGAAACGAAGUUGAGCUUCUGAAUACUUAUGACAUAAUGAACUGGAUGGAUUGGAAGAGAAGGCCAUCUGAAAAUCCACAGAUACAGACACCCAAGGGGCAUAUCCACAUGCUCAGGUCAGAGAAAAUGAACAAAGUGACUCAGAGAUAUAGCUUCUCAGUGUAACUUAACCAUUCAGAACCACAGAGAAAUGGACCACAGCUUGUAAGGGCUUCAGGACUUUACGAGUUGGAGGUAGUGACAAGCCACUGAAAGCAUCAAGCCAACUUCUAAGCGUAAGACAGUCCAUUUGACUCUGCACAGCAGGACUGUGUCUUAUGGAGACUUGCUUUCUAGCCCAGCCACCACCUGUCCUAAGGUUCUCAUCCAUGAUUUAAGAGUAUUGGGGUGGAAAAACUCUAUAGUCCCUACCAUCUCUGAUGUUCUAGUCCAUGUGGAUGUAGCUCCAGGGAAAUUGAGUUUCAAUCAGUUAAAGGAAAGUAUUAAAAACAGUCACUCAUUUAUUAAAUAUCUCCUGUAUUAAGUUACUGAUACAUCCAGCUGCCCACUCAACAAUUCUACUUAUGUAUCAGAGUUAACAUGCCCCAAACAAGUAACAGGACUAUUCACAGCAUUUUUAUUUAUUGUAGUGGAUACAUGGAAUAAAAGCAAGCACUCAAAUAUCUCCCAAAACAAGAUGCACUGUUCUUAAUAUUCCUUAUGUAUACUAUUGUCUUCUGUUUCACUUAAUUCAUCCCCAAUAAAACAAGCAUAAAGAAAUAAAAAUGCACAGAACUUUAAGAUAAUCCAAGAGAAACAUGUCAGUAUCAGCAGUUUCCUAAGAAAAUCCUUUGCUUCUUUAUUCCACUCAAUGCCAAAGUACUAAAUGGAGCCAGGUUCCAAAAGUAAGAGAAGUACUUUCAUUUUUCUGUACAAUUUUACUUUCAG